rnacentral:rRNA from 1 species
UACGUAGGGUGCAAGCGUUGUCCGGAAUUAUUGGGCGUAAAGAGCUCGUAGGCGGUCUGUCGCGUCGGCUGUGAAAUCCCGGAGCUCAACUCCGGGUCUGCAGUCGAUACGGGCAAACUGGAGUACUGCAGGGGAGACUGGAAUUCCUGGUGUAGCGGUGAAAUGCGCAGAUAUCAGGAGGAACACCGGUGGCGAAGGCGGAUCUCUGGGCCUUACCUGACGCUCAGGCGCGAAAGCUAGGGGAGCGAACUGG